GACGAACGCUGGCGGCGUGCCUAAUACAUGCAAGUCGAACGCAGUGGGGACGGGUGAGUAACACGUGGGUAACCUCCCAUCAGAGGGGAUAACACUUGGAAACAGGUGCUAAACCGAUACUGAUGGAUGAACCCGCGGUGCAUUAGCGAGUUGGUGAGGUAACGGCUCACCAAGGCCACGAUCCAUAGCCGACCUGAGAGGGUGAUCGGCCACACUGGUACUGAGACACGGCCCAGACUACUACGUGAGGCAGCAGUAGGGAAUCUUCGGCAAUGGACGAAAGUCUGACCGAGCAACGCCGCGUGAGUGAAGAAGGUUUUCGGAUCGUAAACCUCUGUUAUUAGAGAAGCGGUAUCUAACCAAAAAGCCACGGCUAACUACGUGCCAGCCGCCGCGGUAAUUC
rnacentral:rRNA from 1 species